GACAGAGGGUGCAAACGUUGUUCGGAAUUACUGGGCGUAAAGCGCGUGUAGGUGGCAAGGCAAGUCGGGUGUGAAAGCCCUGGGCUCAACCCAGGAAGUGCACUCGAUACUGCCUCGCUAGAGUCCCGGAGAGGUUGGUGGAACUCUCGGUGUAGAGGUGAAAUUCGUAGAUAUCGAGAAGAACACCGGUGGCGAAGGCGGCCAACUGGACGGGUGACUGACACUGAGACGCGAAAGCGUGGGGAGCAAACAGGG
rnacentral:rRNA from 1 species